AUUGAUUGUAAUAAAUUAUUUUUUCUAAUCUGUUCUUAUCAGUUUAAUAUCUGAUACGUCCCCCAUCGGGGGACUACAUAUUAAAUGGAUUUUUCGAACAGGGAGUCGGAAAUGGGGCUUGCUCCGUCCGCUCCACGCAUCGACCCGGUAUUGCAGUACCUCCGGGAACGGUGCAACACUU
rnacentral:snRNA from 1 species